CCUGCACUCACCAUCUCCUGCCCUUCCCACAGAAUCACCUAGACCAGUCCCUCAUCACACAGGAAGCCCAACCAGCGUGCUUGGAUGACAGAAAAAUCAACACCAUGGCAACAGAUAACCACAAUUGCUGCAUGGGACAAUAACACAAGAUGCAUUAACUAUCAAUAGACAGGGACACAAAUAGAUAACAAAGAUAAUAUACAUGAAAAAUAGUCUGCCAAGCAGCGCCAGCCCCAACGAGUGUGAAUUUACAGUUUCCUACAGUAGUCAUGAAGGCUCCCAUUGUUGAUCACUCUCUGAUUGCUCCGUUUCCACUGCAGACAAACUGCUCUAAAUGGACACAAAGACGGGACGUAGCCAAAAUUCAUUCUGCAAAUAUUUGGACACACUUUCCGAAGGUCCAGCGGCCCAUUCCAUUUUACAGAUUGGUUUGAUGGCUUCAGAAAGUCAUCUUUUUUCUUUUACUGUGGCAAUAAGUAAUGGCGUCUAUUCCACGCCUUUGUCAUACCUAAUUGACACUUUAUAGUUCCCGAAGGGCAAUUGGACAAAGACUUUUAAAAAGCUGAAUUGGAAAUGACUAAUAAGGAUUUUAAAAAGGAACUGAGAGGUUGCAGAGCCCGCGAAGCUGGAUGCUAUCUAUUCUCUACCGUUAGCGUGAAGGCGACUUGCAGCAGUCCUCAGGAUGACAUCUUGCUGAAAGCCGCGCUGUCUCAAGGCCUAACUUUGACGGACCGUGUCAUCGUCCCUACUGCGACACAGGCAGUGUGGUCUAUGUCUCUUAGAUGCUGCUGACCAAAUCUUCAUAAGCAACGCUGUCGUUCGUUAGGAAAAGAAUUCUCCCAGCACCACAGAGUACACAUACCAAGGAAAAUGAGCCAGAAACAGCAAUUGUGGCUUCACGCAGUGGGAAAAUUCCACUUGUCGUGAGGCAAUGAGAGGGUGAUGGAAUUUCUGGCAUCCUAAUGUGGCUCCAUAGGAAAGAAGACUACGGUGCACCUACGACCCAAUCAUCUGCAAAGCAUUCAUUUGUUUCACUGAAAAGAAAAACCGGAAGUCCCUCCCUCCCUCCCUCCAGAGCAAGUUCUGCACCAUGGUGCUUUUCUCCAGUGGACAAUUAGACUGAAUUAAAUGGAAGUCACAGUCAGGUUGUGUCCAGAAUCCCGGGACAUGUGAACACUGCUUCCAAGCAUAACCCUCCACUUCAGCGCAAGCAAUGUGAAAGAGAAAUCUGGUGUUUGGAAUAUGUUUUGACAAAGUGGUCCUGGGUGAGAACACUUCGCAAGGAGACCACACAUUUCUGUGUCUGGGUCUUAGGAACUGGAUAAUCUAAGCCUCGCUCCUUGGCUGCCAGUGAGACGCUGCAUCCUAUUUUAAACGGUGAGCAGCUGCUUUAUAAAUGUUUUCAAAAUAAAUGUUCUG